GACGAACGCUGGCGGCGUGCUUAACACAUGCAAGUCGAACGAUGAAGCCGGAGCUUGCUCUGGUGAAUUAGUGGCGAACGGGUGAGUAACACGUGAGUAACCUGCCCUUGACUCUGGGAUAACUGCUAGAAAUGGUAGCUAAUACCGGAUACGACCCUCGGCGGCAUCGCCAGGGGGUGGAAAGAAUGUCGGUCAAGGAUGGACUAGCGGCCUAUCAGCUAGGUGGUGAGGUAACGGCGCACCAAGGCGACGACGGGUAGCCGGCCUGAGAGGGUGACCGGCCACACUGGGACUGAGACACGGCCCAGACUCCUACGGGAGGCAGCAGUGGGGAAUAUUGCACAAUGGGCGCAAGCCUGAUGCAGCAACGCCGCGUGAGGGAUGACGGCCUUCGGGUUGUAAACCUCUUUUAGUAGGGAAGAAGCGAAAGUGACGGUACCUGCAGAAAAAGCACCGGCUAACUACGUGCCAGCAGCCGCAGUAA
rnacentral:rRNA from 1 species